rnacentral:rRNA from 1 species
UACAGAGGUCCCAAGCGUUGUUCGGAUUCAUUGGGCGUAAAGGGUGCGUAGGUGGCGCCGUAAGUCAGGUGUGAAAUCUCGGGGCUUAACUCCGAAACUGCAUUUGAUACUGCGGUGCUUGAGGACUGGAGAGGAGACUGGAAUUUACGGUGUAGCAGUGAAAUGCGUAGAGAUCGUAAGGAAGACCAGUGGCGAAGGCGGGUCUCUGGACAGUUCCUGACACUGGGGCACGAAGGCCAGGGGAGCAAACGGG